GCCUUAGUAGCUUAGUGGUAAAAGACGUUGGGCUUAACGUAUAGGCUCUUUUAUAUAAGGAUAAGAUAAAGGAUAGUAUACGAUAAGGCGCUAAAAGCGUAGGUUCGAUUCCUAACUAAGGCC
rnacentral:tRNA from 1 species